UACCUGCAGCUCGAGUGGUAACCGCUAUUAUUGGGCCUAAAGCGUCCGUAGCCGGUUUGGUAAAUAUCUGGGUAAAUCGUGAGGCUUAACUUCACGAAUUUCGGAUAGACUGCCAGACUUGGGAUCGGGGGAGGUCAGAGGUACUCCAGGGGUAGCGGUGAAAUGUUGUAAUCCUUGGAGGACCACCGGUAGCGAAGGCGUCUGACUAGAACGAGUCCGACGGUGAGGGAUGAAGCCCUGGGGCGCAAACCGGAUUAGAUACCCGGGUAGUCCAGGGUGUAAACGAUGUGGGCUUUGUAUUGGAGGUCCCACGUGGGCGUCCAGUGCAGAAGAGAAGUUGUUAAGCCCACCGCCUGGGAAGUACGGUCGCAAGGCUGAAACUUAAAGGAAUUGGCGGGGGAGCACAGCAACGGGAGGAGCGUGCGGUU
rnacentral:rRNA from 1 species